rnacentral:rRNA from 1 species
CAGCAGCCACGGUAAUACGGAGGGUGCAAGCGUUAAUCGGAAUUACUGGGCGUAAAGCGCACGCAGGCGGUCUGUCAAGUCAGAUGUGAAAUCCCCGGGCUUAACCUGGGAACUGCAUUUGAAACUGGCAGGCUAGAGUCUUGUAGAGGGGGGUAGAAUUCCAGGUGUAGCGGUGAAAUGCGUAGAGAUCUGGAGGAAUACCGGUGGCGAAGGCGGCCCCCUGGACAAAGACUGACGCUCAGGUGCGAAAGCGUGGGGAGCAAACAGGAUUAGAUACCCGUGAGUCCAUGUCUCUUAUACA